GACGAACGCUGGCGGCGCGCUUAACACAUGCAAGUCGAGCGAUGAAACUUUAACAGAACCCUUCGGGGCGAAGAUAAAGUGGAUUAGCGGCGGACGGGUGAGUAACACGUGAGUAACCUGCCUUAGACAUUGGGAUAGCCUCGGGAAACCGGGAUUAAUACCAAAUAAAAUCAUAAUGACACAUGUCAUAACGAUCAAAACUCCGGUGGUCUAAGAUGGACUCGCGUCCCAUUAGCUAGUUGGUAGAAUAAAAGCCUACCAAGGCGACGAUGGGUAGCCGGCCUGAGAGGGUGAACGGACACAUUGGAACUGAGAAACGGUCCAAACUCCUACGGGAGGCAGCAGUGGGGAAUAUUGCACAAUGGAGGGAACUCUGAUGCAGCGACGCCGCGUGAACGAAGAAGGCUUUCGAGUCGUAAAGUUCUUUUAUAUGGGAAGAUAAUGACGGUACCAUAAGAAAAAGCCCCGGCUAACUACGUG
rnacentral:rRNA from 1 species